rnacentral:rRNA from 1 species
AUUGAACGCCGGCGGCAUGCUUUACACAUGCAAGUCGAACGGUAACAGGCCGCAAGGUGCUGACGAGUGGCGAACGGGUGAGUAAUGCAUCGGAACGUGCCCAGUCGUGGGGGAUAACGCAGCGAAAGCUGCGCUAAUACCGCAUACGAUCUAUGGAUGAAAGCGGGGGACCGUAAGGCCUCGCGCGAUUGGGGCGGCCGAUGUCAGAUUAGGUAGUUGGUGGGGUAAAGGCUCACCAAGCCAACGAUCUGUAGCUGGUCUGAGAGGACGACCAGCCACACUGGGACUGCGACACGGCCGAGACUCCUACGGGAGGCAGCAGUGGGGAAUUUUGGACAAUGGGCGCAAGCCUGAUCCAGCAAUGCCGCGUGCAGGAAGAAGGCCUUCGGGUUGUAAACUGCUUUUGUACGGAACGAAACGGCUCUGGUUAAUACCUGGGGCUAAUGACGGUACCGUAAGAAUAAGCACCGGCUGACUACGUGCCAGCAGCCGCGGUAACAC